rnacentral:tmRNA from 1 species
GGGGGUGAAUUAGGCUCGACAGGAAUUGUAAGGUUCGUGGUCGCAGGCUCUGGUUGGUCGGAGCCAGGUUAAAAGCCGACCAAAAACAUAAAAGCCAACACCAACAGUGUGGCCUGGGCUCACGCUUAAGUGAGCCUCGCUGACCAGUCAACGUCCGCUAGGCUGGCUCAGUGUCAAGCAGCGGGCUAGGAACUUUCUGCGCGCUUCGUCGGAAGUUCCGAGAUGAAACGGAGCUUAGCCUAGGAGUACUGGUCUGGGUGUUUUUCCUAGGUGAAUAAAUAGUCCAGACUAAGCCUGUAGGGACGCGAGCGAACAGUUCUUGGACCCGGGGGCAGUUCCCGGCACCUCCACCA